rnacentral:rRNA from 1 species
ACUCCUACGGGAGGCAGCAGUGGGGAAUAUUGCGCAAUGGCCGCAAGGCUGACGCAGCGACGCCGCGUGUGGGAGGACGCCUUUCGGGGUGUAAACCACUGUUGCCCGGGACGAACAACUGACAUUGGUCAGUCUGACGGUACCGGGUGAGGAAGCACCGGCUAACUCCGUGCCAGCAGCCGCGGUAAUACGGAGGGUGCGAGCGUUGUCCGGAAUCACUGGGCGUAAAGGGCGCGUAGGCGGUGCGGUAAGCGUGCGGUGAAAGCUCGGGGCUCAACCCCGAGUCGGCCGUGCGAACUGCUGGACUGGAGCAUGUCAGAGGCGGGUGGAAUUCCGGGUGUAGCGGUGGAAUGCGUAGAGAUCCGGAAGAACACCGGUGGCGAAGGCGGCCCGCUGGGACAUAGCUGACGCUGAGGCGCGACAGCGUGGGGAGCAAACAGGAUUAGAUACCCUGGUAGUCCACGCCGUAAACGAUGGGUACUAGGUGCUUGGGGGAGCGACCCCCUGGGUGCC